ensembl:snRNA U4 U4 spliceosomal RNA
GUCCUUUUCUAGUGGCACUGUGUUAGCCUAUGAGGUGUAUUUGAGGUGUGAUUAUUGCUAUUUAAAAACUUCAACCCACCUUGAUGACUUGAAACAUAGUCCAUAGAUGUCAUUUUUGCUGUUCUCUGAGGAGA